rnacentral:rRNA from 1 species
UACGGAGGGUGCAAGCGUUAUCCGGAUUUAUUGGGUUUAAAGGGUCCGUAGGCGGACUAAUAAGUCAGUGGUGAAAUCUCAUAGCUUAACUAUGAAACUGCCAUUGAUACUGUUAGUCUUGAGUGUAGUUGAGGUAGCUGGAAUAAGUAGUGUAGCGGUGAAAUGCAUAGAUAUUACUUAGAACACCAAUUGCGAAGGCAGGUUACCAAGUUACAACUGACGCUGAGGGACGAAAGCGUGGGGAGCGAACAGG